AACGAACGCUGGCGGCAGGCCUAACACAUGCAAGUCGAGCGCACCCUUCGGGGCGAGCGGCGGACGGGUUAGUAACGCGUGGGAACGUACCCUUUUCUAUGGAAUAGCCUCGGGAAACUGAGAGUAAUACCAUAUAAGCCCUUCGGGGAAGGAUUAUCGGGAAGGAUCGGCCCGCGUUAGAUUAGAUAGUUGGUGGGGUAAUGGCCUACCAAGUCUACGAUCUAUAGCUGGUUUUAGAGGAUGAUCAGCAACACUGGGACUGAGACACGGCCCAGACUCCUACGGGAGGCAGCAGUGGGGAAUCUUAGACAAUGGGCGCAAGCCUGAUCUAGCCAUGCCGCGUGAGUGAAGAAGGCCUCGGUU
rnacentral:rRNA from 1 species